AUGGCUGCAACAGGUGGCCUAGGCCUGAGCUUCCCCCACCCUGCCAGGGCAGGCCAGGGGCACAAGCAGCGAGCAAUGCGGGACGUAAGGAAAGCUUUAUGUCCUGCAUGUCCUACACCGAGCGGACUACAGCAGCUCACUUCUCCCGGAGGGAGCAGAAACCCUUACGAAACGCAGCACCAAGCCACUCGUCACCUUACGCUGUACUUUCUUCCCACCCCGUGCUGGCCCAGCGACUUGUGGCCGCCUUCACCAAAUCCAAAACCCCAAAAAUCCCCCAGACCCGUCGCCUCCCUGCGCCCCCCUCCCGGGACGCCCGGGACACCCGGGCUGCGGGCAGCGGCCGCGGGGGAAGCGGCCCCAGCGGGACGGGCCCCGGAGCCGUGGCAGGGCCGGGGCUGGGGCUCGGAGGGGGUCACGGCGCCGCCCCGCAGCCUCCCACCCCCGCCGCCGGCUCCUACCGGCAGGGCACGGACGCAGUCACCGAGCCCCGGCCUCCCCCGGCUGGGAAGCGAAAGCGAAAGCGGCCGGGCCGCCAUCGCCGGAACCCGGUGUCCGCCCCGGCCUCCUCCUUUCCUUCCUUCCUUCCUCCCUCCUUCCCUCCGUCCCUGCCUUCCCUCCUUCCCUCCCGGCCCCGGCGGUCCCGGUUCCCCCGCCGCGGCCCCUCACCAUGCGGCGGCUGGGCCCGGGGCGCUGGCAGGGAGCUGGCUGGGCUCCCCCCCCCCGCGGCGGGGAAGCGGCUCUGCCCCGCCCGCCACGCACACGAGGCACAAACACACACCAGGCACACCCGCACACCGCACACAAACACACCGCGCACACGCCCGCACUCCCCUUCGCCUCCGGUCUGCCCCCGAGGUGGGCGAGGGAGCCGCAGCCAAGCAGGGCAGGGGCCGGGGCUCGCCCCGCUGUCAGCCCCGCGAGCAGCAGCGGGGCUCCGGGGCAGGAGCUCGCCGCGGGAGGGAGGUUAAAUGGCUGCUUCUGGAAGGCGGCCACGGGUUGCCUGGUGACCCCCACAUAUUUUAA
rnacentral:lncRNA from 1 species